rnacentral:lncRNA from 1 species
CGCCUGGCCCUCACCCAUGGCCAGCUCCUGACACGCGUGUGCCCCGCUCCGCCCCCUCACACCCCCACCGCCAGCCCGUGGGCCUCCGCUCAUCCCCAGGGCUUCCCACCAGGCGGUGGGCCCCCCUCUCCCUCUGCUUCAGUGCCGCCCCCGGGGCCAGGCGGCCUCCUGCCCCCUGGGGCCGCCCGCCAGGAACGCCGCGCUGAAGGCCGCCAUCCCCACACCACCGCCACCUGUGCGCGUGGCAGCGCGUGUGGGCAGAAAGGACCCAGGGCUCUGACUGCCGCCAAGCGCCUCCCACGCUCCCUCCUGUCCUGCGGCCGGGAAUCUUCCCAGCCGGCUUGGAGAACACUCGAGGGCCAAGGUAGGUGGGGACCCGCUCCACCUGCAGAGUUCCGACGAGUGUGUUUGGACACACGUCGGCCCCUGCGCAGAAGCACGACCCUCCUGAGCACCCUGACCGUGGCCAUCCCCCACACAGUCGCCGGGGUCCUUGCCCCGCCGCCUCGCCGCCCUCUUCCUGCGGCCCUGCCUGGAGAAGCGGUCCCCGGGAGGACCUGGGGGCUCUCGGGCGCCACAGGCGGGGUGUGGCACACCGCGUGCACGCUGUGCGCCCGCUUCUGUCAGCGCGGGGCGGGCUGUGGUCGGGGAAGGGAGUCUUCCCCAUGCGUCGAGCGGGCGGUGGAGCGGGGAAAGGACCCAGAGGUGCUCGUGCAGCGCGCGGCCCCAGCCCCGCUGAGCCCGGCGGAACGUCGUCCUCGGGCCCGACUCGGGGCCGGCGGCCGAGGCCCGGCUGCGCGCCGCCCCUGGGCCUGCCGUGCGCUCCUGCCCCGGCGCGGGGCGCGGGGGCGGCGCGGCUGGCCCCGCGGGCCUGGGGACCCGCGCGCCGCAGCGACCAGAAAGUCCCGGUCAGCCUGCCCCGAGCUCCGCGGGCCUGGGAGCCCGGCGCCGCGCGCCGCCGCGCGCCGCCGCCGCGGCCGCCGCCGCCGGCGGCUCGGCAGUGUGGCGCGGGAGCAGCCGCCAGGCCGUCCCGAUGCGCGCGCGCAGGAGCCCCGCAGGCUGGGGAGCCGCCGCCGCCGCCGCCGCCGCCGCCGCCAGGUAGUGGCCGUUGCACUGCGGGAGGCCGCGGGCCCACCAGAGCAUGGGCAGGGAAGCGAUGGGACCACAUACAAACUCAGGUCCGGGUACCCGAUUUCGCAGCCAAGCCAAUCAGUGAGAAGUCAGGGGUGCAGCAAGGAAAGAGGUUUAUGAUCAAGAGGCGGCCAGACAAGGAGGUGGGCGUAAAACUCAAACCCGCCUCCUCAAAGGGAAAACAAAACGUUGGGGCGUUUAUCUGGGGUUGGGGUAGGGGUGGGACCAGGAGAGCGCUGGGGGUGAAGCUUGAAGAGUCCUCUGCUCAGGUGCGACUGUCACUCGUAUUUCUUCGUGGGUCACAAGUGCGAAGUCAGUGGGGUUCGACGCGUUGCACGCCGAGGAUCUCUGUCCGUGACGCGGAAAGUGGGCGAUCCGUCAUUUCAGCUGGUCCAAGCCUCUGCACGAUGUCCGCUCGGGCGGGGUCCGGGGGGGCUGCCAUCAAGCUGCUCUCUGAUCUGCCGUCUUCCUGUUGUUCUGCAAAACAACCUCAGAAACUUUGGUUACUUUCUCGCCCACGUCCACCCCUGUGGGGGCCGGGCACCGUGUUGUCAGUAACGGCAGGGUUUUCCUCUUGGGUCACCCUCCCCAACAGUGUGGAGGAUGGGGUUCAAGCGGGGAUGGGGGGGGUGCGGUGUGCCAGGAGGCCAGCCGGCAAGAUCAGUAAAGGAGUCUACUGGGCUGGGUUGCGUGCAAGAGACAGGAAGGCAUGCGGCAGAACAGCGGGGACGGCAAAGUCGGGA